AAAUUGAAGAGUUUGAUCAUGGCUCAGAUUGAACGCUGGCGGCAGGCCUAACACAUGCAAGUCGAACGGUAACAGGAAUCAGCUUGCUGAUUUGCUGACGAGUGGCGGACGGGUGAGUAAUGUCUGGGAAACUGCCUGAUGGAGGGGGAUAACUACUGGAAACGGUAGCUAAUACCGCAUAAUGUCGCAAGACCAAAGAGGGGGACCUUCGGGCCUCUUGCCAUCGGAUGUGCCCAGAUGGGAUUAGCUAGUAGGUGGGGUAACGGCUCACCUAGGCGACGAUCCCUAGCUGGUCUGAGAGGAUGACCAGCCACACUGGAACUGAGACACGGUCCAGACUCCUACGGGAGGCAGCAGUGGGGAAUAUUGCACAAUGGGCGCAAGCCUGAUGCAGCCAUGCCGCGUGUAUGAAGAAGGCCUUCGGGUUGUAAAGUACUUUCAGCGGGGAGGAAGGGAGUAAAGUUAAUACCUUUGCUCAUUGACGUUACCCGCAGAAGAAGCACCGGCUAACUCCGUGCCAGCAGCCGCGGUAAUACGGAGGGUGCAAGCGUUAAUCGGAAUUACUGGGCGUAAAGCGCACGCAGGCGGUUUGUUAAGUCAGAUGUGAAAUCCCCGGGCUCAACCUGGGAACUGCAUCUGAUACUGGCAAGCUUGAGUCUCGUAGAGGGGGGUAGAAUUCCAGGUGUAGCGGUGAAAUGCGUAGAGAUCUGGAGGAAUACCGGUGGCGAAGGCGGCCCCCUGGACGAAGACUGACGCUCAGGUGCGAAAGCGUGGGGAGCAAACAGGAUUAGAUACCCUGGUAGUCCACGCCGUAAACGAUGUCGACUUGGAGGUUGUGCCCUUGAGGCGUGGCUUCCGGAGCUAACGCGUUAAGUCGACCGCCUGGGGAGUACGGCCGCAAGGUUAAAACUCAAAUGAAUUGACGGGGGCCCGCACAAGCGGUGGAGCAUGUGGUUUAAUUCGAUGCAACGCGAAGAACCUUACCUGGUCUUGACAUCCACGGAAGUUUUCAGAGAUGAGAAUGUGCCUUCGGGAACCGUGAGACAGGUGCUGCAUGGCUGUCGUCAGCUCGUGUUGUGAAAUGUUGGGUUAAGUCCCGCAACGAGCGCAACCCUUAUCCUUUGUUGCCAGCGGUCCGGCCGGGAACUCAAAGGAGACUGCCAGUGAUAAACUGGAGGAAGGUGGGGAUGACGUCAAGUCAUCAUGGCCCUUACGACCAGGGCUACACACGUGCUACAAUGGCGCAUACAAAGAGAAGCGACCUCGCGAGAGCAAGCGGACCUCAUAAAGUGCGUCGUAGUCCGGAUUGGAGUCUGCAACUCGACUCCAUGAAGUCGGAAUCGCUAGUAAUCGUGGAUCAGAAUGCCACGGUGAAUACGUUCCCGGGCCUUGUACACACCGCCCGUCACACCAUGGGAGUGGGUUGCAAAAGAAGUAGGUAGCUUAACCUUCGGGAGGGCGCUUACCACUUUGUGAUUCAUGACUGGGGUGAAGUCGUAACAAGGUAACCGUAGGGGAACCUGCGGUUGGAUCACCUCCUUACCUUAAAGAA
rnacentral:rRNA from 1 species